rnacentral:rRNA from 1 species
AGGCAGCAGUGGGGAAUCUUGCGCAAUGGGCGAAAGCCUGACGCAGCGACGCCGCGUGGGUGACGAAGGCCUUCGGUUGUAAAGCCCUGUGGGGUAGAACGAACUGGCAUCGGGCUAAUAUCCCGGUGUCUUGACGGUACUGCCUUAGCAAGCAUCGGCUAACUCUGUGCCAGCAGCCGCGGUAAGACAGAGGAUGCGAACGUUGCUCGGAUUUACUGGGCGUAAAGCGCGUGUAGGCGGUCUCGUUAGUCGGGUGUGAAGCCCCGGGCUCAACCCGGGAAGUGCACCCGAUACUGCGAGACUGGGGUACUGAAGAGGAGAGCGGAAUUCCCGGUGUAGAGGUGAAAUUCGUAGAUAUCGGGAGGAACACCAGUGGCGAAGGCGGCUCUCUGGGCAGAUACCGACGCUGAGACGCGAAAGCGUGGGGGAGCGAAAACAGGAUUAGAUACCCUGGUAGUCCAGCUGUAAACGAUGACGACUGGGUGUUGC